rnacentral:lncRNA from 1 species
AUUCACAUGUAAAAUCUAAGUCAGUAAAAAAAUGUACGGAAUAUAAGUAAUAACAGUAACAUAAUGAUUACUCGUACCUAUAUAGAAUUAGUAUUAUUUUCAUUUUUAAAAUGUUUAAAUCAGUUUUAAUGAAUGGUUUGGUAUUUUGAAAAGAACAUUUUAUAAAAGGAAAAAUAAAAAAGCAACAUUAUUCGAUGAUAAGUAUAUGAUAUAUUGUUUGUUAUAAGUUAUAGAAACGAUAUUUAUUAGGUUAAAUAAAAAUAAAAUAAUAAUUCGUACUAUUGGAUUUAAUUAUUCAAUAUUAAUUUUCAAUAAUUUGAAAGAUAAAUGAAUUGAAUAAAUUGAGGAAACUUAAUUUACAGAUAUUAAGAAAGUGAAAUUAAGAGCUAAAUUAAGAGGAUUGUGUACUAAAUAAAAAUCAAGCUAAAGUAGUAUAAUUUUCUAUUAUAUUUGGGAAGUGGUAUAUUGUAUUAGGAUUUGAAAAGUCAGGAUAAUAAAGUAAGGUUAUUGAUUGAAUAUUGGAUAGAAAUUAGGGGAAUAUAGAGUAGGAGCAUCAAUCGAUUCUGUAUAUCCAAUCCAAUCAUCUUCUGUAUCGUAUAUUUGAUAAAAAUUGAAAUAAAGUGAGUAGGAUUAUAAAUUAUAACAUUGGAUAAAAAAAAACAGGCGAAAGUAAUAAAAUUAUUAAUAGAUUAUUUAUUUGGUAACUAUGGUAGUCAUGAAGUUAGUGAAAAAUAUACGGAAUAUAAGUAAUAACAGAAACAUAAUGAAUACUCGUAAACGUGGUUAGGAAUAGUUUAAGUUACAUUGAAAAGUUUAAAUCAUGUUCUGCAAAUUCUUUGAUAAUUUAAAAAGAACAUUUUAUAUAAGAAAAAAAAAAUGCGAAAUUAUCCAACGAUAGCUUCAAUAUACAUGGUUCGUUUUAAGUUAUAAAAAUGAUACCUAUUUAUUAGGUCGAUUAAAAAAAUUAAAAGAGAAUAAUAAUAAUAAAUGUGCAAUAUUGGUAUUAAUUAUUUUACGCUCAUUAAUUUGAAAGACAAAUCAAAAUCGUUAAUAAAUUAAAUAAAUAUAUUGAAUUAAUUUAAAUUGUCGAAACAUUUCCAUUUUAAGUUAAAGGAACAGUAUAGAUCAGGUUCAAUAGCUUAAGUAAAAAAUUAUAGGCAAACAUAACAUACAGAGAAACGAAUACACUUAUUAAGAAUAUUAAGAGGAAGUGAGUAAUUACAUAAAAUAGGUACAGCGAUUAUAUAAAAACUGGAAUAGACAAUCAGAACCAAUGAUCCGAAAAAAAAAUGUAAAAUUUAUUGAUACAUUAAAAUGUAUUCAAGAUAAAAAUCAUAAGCAGUAUAUAGUAUUCAUAAACUGGGUUUAUUUAAUUGAAAAGCAAGGAAAAGUAGUAAUAAAAUACACGAAGUUGAUUUACAUCAGGUUUAGUAUCAGAAAUAAAUAAUUUAGAAAAUAAAAACUGAAAUGAAAAUUGUUGACAAAAUUAAUAAGUUAUGUUAUUGUUACUUAUUUAUGAUUAUUACAGUUAAAUACUCGUAUUUUAGAGACAUAGUUUAUAAUUUCCAAAUUUAUUAGUUGAAUAUGUCAUAAUAUUAUAUAAACUGGAAUUGAUGUUACUCGAUAACAAUCUUAUAAAAGUUGGACCAAAAACGAUAGCAAAAAAACCAUAUACGUAAGGCACGUCUUAGGUUACAGAAACAUAAUACAUAAUGUGUAAAUCACGAUUUUGAAGGAAGAAAGAAGGAAAAUUCGAUAAAUAGUUACAUAGUUUGAGUUAAUUUUAAGUGGAGUAUAUAACUAUCAAAUACACAUCGUACUCAUAUUAACCGAUUUAAAAAUGAUAGUAAUAUGAAUAACUUUUAGUCUUAAAUAUUAAAAGACUAGUUUAAGUAAUGAUUUAAGUAUGGUUAGGGAAAAAAAUUAUAGAAAUAAAAAUAAAAACGUAUAGUUAAGAGAGAGAGAGAGAGAGAAAUAUAAAGAGAAGUAAGUGAAGAGGUUAUGUAAAUUAUCUAUUUUUAACCAGGCCCUUAGGAGAUAAAUAAUAUCUAGUAAGUUCCAUGAUAACUAUAUAGUAUAUGCAUAUCUGCAUACAUCAUACGAGUGUAUUGAUUUUAAUUUUAAAUGAAUCAUAGAGAUAAAGUAAACUAUAAGGAUGCUGAAAUUUAUAUUUAUGCAACGUUUACGUAUUCACGUAAAGAAUUUUUUAACAGGUGAUCACCUGUAUAAUUAUAUAAUGGAAAUAUUUUCACAUAAUAAGAAUGAAAGUUCAGGAAAGUGUAAGAAAUCCAAAGAGUCGUCAGGAUAUUAGAUAUAUUUUAUAGUAUACAUUAUAUAUAAUAAAUUUUAAAAUUCCCCUAAUGGGAGACAAUCGUAACGUAUGUAUGUAUGGAACAGAAGUAGGUAGACAUAAUUAUGUAGAAAACGUAAAAAUCCUAUCUAGUUUAGUUUGAAGUCACGAAUUAACAACAUACUAGAUAAAUAGAUACUAUUUAUUAUUUACUCCAAAAGAUUACAAUAGUAAACUUACUAUAGGUAAAAAUAAUCACAAGAAAUGAUUUCAGUUGGAAAACAACGGGCGGCCUUAUUGCUAAAAGCAUGCUAGUAUUUUUAAACUAUCUUGUAAUUUAGGAUUAUGUAGUUGAGAUUUUUAUAACGACGCAUAAAUUAUUCGAAAAAUAUAGAAAUUUUAUCUCAUAGGAUAUAGGAAAUACUUAUUAAUAAGUUACUCAUAACAAUAUAUGAUUUAGAUCAGUUCCAGUAAAUCAUUUAAAAGCAAAAGGAUAUUAUCAAUUGAUAGAAUUAAUUAAUUGAUUAAUUAAUUAAAUUAAAAUUAAGUAAUUGAAGUGAUAAAAAUAGGCUAAAAUAAUAGAUAAAUUUUGGAUAAAAUUGAGGCUUAAAAAGUAGAUUAUAUCUUGGUUAAAAAUGAGAUUAGAGUAGUAGGUUGGAUAAAAUUCAACUCAAAUUUGUACAGUUAAUAAUUGUAUAUAAGAUAAAAAUUAAGCUAAACAAAGUAGAAGUAUCUACUGUAUAUUAGGUAAAAUUCAGAUUAAUAUAGUAGGAUUGUCGAUUGUAUUUGCUGGGUUUAAUUCAGGUCAAAGUAGUAGGACUACUGAUCGUAUAUUGGGUCGAAUUCAGGUAAAAAUAGUGGAACUACCGAUUGUACGUUACCUUAAAUUCAGGUCAAAGUAGUAGGACUAUGGAUUGUAUAUUGGGUCAAAUUCACGUCAUAGUAGUAGGAAUAUCAAUUGUAUAUUUAGCCAAAAUCAGUCAAAAUUGUAGGAUUAUCGAAAAUAUAUUGAAUAAAAAUCAGACUAAAAUAGUAAAAUUUGCGACAUACAAAAACUAGAUAUAAAGUUACUGAAAAAUAUACGAAAUAUAAGUAAUAACAGAAAUAUAAUGAAUACUCGUGUACAUAAUUAGUAUUAGGCUUCAGUUACACGGAAAUGUUUAAAUAGAUUUAACAAAUUCUUUGAUAUUUUGAAAAGAACCUUUUGUAUGCUAUUAGAAAAAUAAAAAUAAUACAUUAUCUGCCCAAUAGGUAUUAUUAAUACGCAUUAUUAAUUGUAAAAAUGGUAAUAAUUAAUUCGAAUAAAAAUAUAUAAGACAAUAGUAGUAAUAAAUGUUAAUAUUGGUUUUUAUUAUUUCACGAUCAUGUUCAUCAAUUAGAAUAAUGCAUUAUAUAAACAUAUAAAAGAAAAGUACAAUAUUAAUUAAAGUACAGACAGAUGUAAACACAAUAGAUAAAAGAACUGUUUUAAGGGUUGGUUUUAAAUUAAACAAAAAAAUGCAUCAAAUAGGUAUAUUAUUAUUGAUUAUUUAAAAGAUAAAAAAGUCAUCUAGAACCAGUAAAUUAUUUAAAAGGAUAUGUAAAAACUGUUAAUAUAUCAAAAUAUAUCUAAGUUUAUUUUCAAGUAGUAGGUAGUAUUAAUAAAUUGGAUUAAUUAAUUUAUAAGUAAAGAGAAGUAAAAAAAAAAAAACCGAAUGUUGAUAACAAAAUUAAUAAGUAGAGGUUAUUGUUAUUUUUUUUUUAUUAUUUUGCCAUUACUUAAUAGUAUAAUUUCAAUCAGAUUUAGUUAAAUACUUGUAUUUUAGAGAAAAAAAUAUAUACUUUCAUAAUUUGUUAAUUGAUUAAAUAUGUCUUAUUAUAUAUAAACUGUAAUUGGUAUUUAUCGUUAACAAUCUUAUAAAAGUUGGAUCGAAACUACUAAAUAUACCAUUAAUUUCAUUCACAAUUUUGAAGAAUACCAAAAUAGAAAGAAGUAAAAUCUGAUAAAUAAUUACAUAGUGAAAUAGUUUUAAGUGAAAUAUUUAAAUAUCAAAUAUAAAUGUUAUUCAGUGUUCAAAUAGUAGAAGUGUCAUUUGCUCUAUAAAAAUUUUUAAAAUAUAAUGUAAUUGGAAUCAAGAAGAAAAUUGAAUAUAAAUUUUAAGAUAUUGCACUGGCUUAUGACAGGUUCGAUUAAUAAAUAAAAAAAAAAAACAAAAACUAUACCCAUACUAUAAAUGAUUAGUUUUAAUGUUAAUCAGGUCCA